AAAUCCGUCGAAUUUUUAAAUNCGUGAGGGUUCAAGUCCCUCUAUCCCCA
rnacentral:tRNA from 72 species